rnacentral:rRNA from 1 species
AUUGAACGCUGGCGGCAGGCCUAACACAUGCAAGUCGAGCGGAUGAAGGGAGCUUGCUCCUGGAUUCAGCGGCGGACGGGUGAGUAAUGCCUAGGAAUCUGCCUGGUAGUGGGGGAUAACGUCCGGAAACGGGCGCUAAUACCGCAUACGUCCUGAGGGAGAAAGUGGGGGAUCUUCGGACCUCACGCUAUCAGAUGAGCCUAGGUCGGAUUAGCUAGUUGGUGGGGUAAAGGCCUACCAAGGCGACGAUCCGUAACUGGUCUGAGAGGAUGAUCAGUCACACUGGAACUGAGACACGGUCCAGACUCCUACGGGAGGCAGCAGUGGGGAAUAUUGGACAAUAGGCGAAAGCCUGAUCCAGCCAUGCCGCGUGUGUGAAGAAGGUCUACGGAUUGUAAAGCACUUUAAGUUGGGAGGAAGGGCAGUAAGUUAAUACCUUGCUGUUUUGACGUUACCAACAGAAUAAGCACCGGCUAACUUCGUG